AUUGAACGCUGGCGGCAGGCCUAACACAUGCAAGUCGAGCGGAUGAAGGGAGCUUGCUCCCGGAUUCAGCGGCGGACGGGUGAGUAAUGCCUAGGAAUCUGCCUGGUAGUGGGGGAUAACGUCCGGAAACGGGCGCUAAUACCGCAUACGUCCUGAGGGAGAAAGUGGGGGAUCUUCGGACCUCACGCUAUCAGAUGAGCCUAGGUCGGAUUAGCUAGUUGGUGGGGUAAAGGCCUACCAAGGCGACGAUCCGUAACUGGUCUGAGAGGAUGAUCAGUCACACUGGAACUGAGACACGGUCCAGACUCCUACGGGAGGCAGCAGUGUGGAAUAUUGGACAAUGGGCGAAAGCCUGAUCCAGCCAUGCCGCGUGUGUGAAGAAGGUCUUCGGAUUGUAAAGCACUUUAAGUUGGGAGGAAGGGCAGUAAGUUAAUACCUUGCUGUUUUGACGUUACCAACAGAAUAAGCACCGGCUAACUUCGUG
rnacentral:rRNA from 1 species